rnacentral:rRNA from 1 species
AUGAACACUAGGCGUAGUCGGUAUCGACCCCGGCUGUGCCGUAGCUAACGCAUUAAGUGUUCCGCCUGGGGAGUACGGCCGCAAGGCUAAAACUCAAAGGAAUUGACGGGGGCCCGCACAAGCAGCGGAGCGUGUGGUUUAAUUCGUCGCAACGCGAAGAACCUUACCAGGACUUGACAUGUGGCGGAAAACGGCGGAAACGUCGUCCUCCCGCAAGGGACCGUCAUGCAGGUGUUGCAUGGCUGUCGUCAGCUCGUGUCGUGAGGUGUUGGGUUAAGUCCCGCAACGAGCGCAACCCCCGUGGCAUGUUGUAUUUUUCAUGCCAGACUGCCGAGAGAAACUCGGAGGAAGGUGGGGAUGACGCCAAGUCAGCAUGGCCCUUACGUCCUGGGCUACACACACGCUACAAUGGCCGGUACAACGGGUUGCCAAACCGCGAGGUGGAGCUAAUCCCUUAAAGCCGGUCUCAGUUCGGAUUGCAGGCUGCAACUCGCCUGCAUGAAGCCGGGGUUGCUAGUAACCGCAGGUCAGCACACUGCGGUGAAUAUGUUCCCGGGCCUUGUACACACCGCCCGUCACGUCAUGAAAGCCGAUAA